GAUGAACGCUGGCGGCGUGCCUAAUACAUGCAAGUCGAGCGAACAGACGAGGAGCUUGCUCCUCUGACGUUAGCGGCGGACGGGUGAGUAACACGUGGAUACCCUACCUAUAAGACUGGGAUCACUUCGGGAAACCGGAGCUAAUACCGGAUAAUAUAUUGAACCGCAUGGUUCAAUAGUGAAAGACGGUUUUGCUGUCACUACUAGAUGGAUCUGCGCCGCAUUAGCUAGUUGGUACGUUAACGGCUUACCAAGGCAACGAUGCGUAGCCGACCUGCGAGGGGGGUCGGCCACACUGGAGCUGAGACGCGGACCAGACUCCUACGGGAGGCAGCAGUAGGGAAUCUUCCGCAAAGGGCGAAAGCCUGACGGAGCAACGCCGCGUGAGUGAUGAAGGUCUUCGGAUCGUAAAGCUCUGUUAUUAGGGAAGAACAAAUGUGGAAGUAACUAUGCACGUCUUGACGGUACCUAAUCAGAAAGCCACGGCUAACUACGUG
rnacentral:rRNA from 1 species